rnacentral:lncRNA from 1 species
CCGGUACCAAUGGACUCCUAGCUCAAAAUUUAUGCUAUUAUCUACAGUUGAAAAACAAUAAACUAUCUCAAAUAUUCUCACAUUACAAAUCAAGCAUUUAAAAGUACAUACCUGACCACACGUCCAAUCAAUGAAUUCCUUUGUUUAUAGUCAAAAGAUGUGACCCGUUGAAGAAUAUAAACUAAAACAAAUUAUAUCCGUAUAUAUAACUAAAAAAUAAAUGAAUCGUGACAUUAGUAAAAACCUGAAAUUCUUGCAGAAAGUUAGGGUUUCACAAUAAAAUUGUGAGAGUCUGUGAUUAUAGAUGAGCAAUGGUCCAAAACUGCUAAUAUAAAUAAGAAUAUAUCGAUGAAAAGGUACGAUCAAAAAGCCAAUAGGAGGAUGAGGACCAUUGGCAGUUUGAAAUAAGCUCAGAAAUUGUACGUUUGGGUGGGAAAUAGGAAAAGCGGAAUUGCACCUUGGUUUGGUUUUGAGCUGCG